rnacentral:lncRNA from 1 species
AGAUUAUGGGCAAGGAGGUGCUCAGGAAGUGGCCCGCCGAUGUCACAGCAUGCCUCGAUCUUGUCUGUCGAUGUGCCUUUUCCCACCGGUUGCAAGUCCAAUGUUGAGGGCAUCUUGGACUCGCCCUACUACGAGUGUUUCUAGUUCGCACUACUACAUAAAACAUUAACCGAGACGGAUGAAAGAGAUUAACCGAGACGUUUUGGCCAACCGCCUCGGAUCAAAUGUCACAGUUAACGAGACCUUUUUCGAGGUUUUUUGAUGCCCGCCUCGGUUAAUAACAUAAAAAAACAAAAAAAAUCUAGUGAGCCCGUCGAUAGAGCCCGCAGAGCCCAUCGAUGAGGCCCGCCAAGCCCAUCCAAGUGCAGCACCGCCGCCCGUCGGAUCCAGCAGCACCAUUGGGCUCUCGCAGC